rnacentral:lncRNA from 1 species
GUAGCAAGUAAUACUAUCCAACCUACUCCACAGACUAUACCUGCCAUUGAUCCCGCACUUUUCAAUACAAUUUCCCAGGGGGAUGUUCGUCUAACCCCAGAAGACUUUGCUAGAGCUCAGAAGUACUGCAAAUAUGCUGGCAGUGCUUUGCAGUAUGAAGAUGUAAGCACUGCUGUCCAGAAUCUACAAAAGGCUCUCAAGUUACUGACGACAGGCAGAGAAUGAAGCCUUUGUAUGACAGACCCAUGUAUUUUUGGCAUGAGGAACUAACAGUCCAUUACUCUAUCUUCAGCCUAUCAGGAUCACAGUUUUAAGGAAGACUUGGUUUUGUUGAAUAUGACAAUGAAAUCUGUGUGUAUCAGAUUUUUAUUGAAGCAUUCAUCAGCAGCCUCAACCAGUUUUCAUUGUCCAUUUACUAGAUUCAAUCGUCUCUGAGUAUAUAGGGCUGAUGUUAGCAAGACCCUAAAAAUGUCCAUUGAACCCUGCUUC